UACGUAGGGUCCGAGCGUUGUCCGGAAUUAUUGGGCGUAAAGGGCUCGUAGGCGGUUUGUCGCGUCGGGAGUGAAAACUCAGGGCUCAACCCUGAGCGUGCUUCCGAUACGGGCAGACUAGAGGUAUGCAGGGGAGAACGGAAUUCCUGGUGUAGCGGUGAAAUGCGCAGAUAUCAGGAGGAACACCGAUGGCGAAGGCAGAUCUCUGGGCCGUAACUGACGCUGAGGAGCGAAAGCGUGGGGAGCAAACAGG
rnacentral:rRNA from 1 species